AGGGUUUGAUCAUGGCUCAGGAUGAACGCUGGCGGCGUGCCUAACACAUGCAAGUCGAGCGAUUCUCUUCGGAGAAGAGCGGCGGACGGGUGAGUAACGCGUGGGUAACCUGCCCUGUACACACGGAUAACAUACCGAAAGGUAUGCUAAUACGAGAUAAUAUGCUUUUAUCGCAUGGUAGAAGUAUCAAAGCUCCGGCGGUACAGGAUGGACCCGCGUCUGAUUAGCUAGUUGGUAAGGUAAGGGCUUACCAAGGCGACGAUCAGUAGCCGACCUGAGAGGGUGAUCGGCCACAUUGGAACUGAGACACGGUCCAAACUCCUACGGGAGGCAGCAGUGGGGAAUAUUGCACAAUGGGCGAAAGCCUGAUGCAGCAACGCCGCGUGAGCGAUGAAGGCCUUCGGGUCGUAAAGCUCUGUCCUCAAGGAAGAUAAUGACGGUACUUGAGGAGGAAGCCCCGGCUAACUACGAGCCAGCAGCCGCGGUAAUACGUAGGGGGCUAGCGUUAUCCGGAAUUACUGGGCGUAAAGGGUGCGUAGGUGGUUUCUUAAGUCAGAGGUGAAAGGCUACGGCUCAACCGUAGUAAGCCCUUGAAACUGGGAAACUUGAGUGCAGGAGAGGAGAGUGGAAUUCCUAGUGUAGCGGUGAAAUGCGUAGAUAUUAGGAGGAACACCAGUUGCGAAGGCGGCUCUCUGGACUGUAACUGACACUGAGGCACGAAAGCGUGGGGAGCAAACAGGAUUAGAUACCCUGGUAGUCCACGCCGUAAACGAUGAGUACUAGCUGUCGGAGGUUACCCCCUUCGGUGGCGCAGCUAACGCAUUAAGUACUCCGCCUGGGAAGUACGCUCGCAAGAGUGAACUCAAGGAAUUGACGGGGACCCGCACAAGUAGCGGAGCAUGUGGUUUAAUUCGAAGCAACGCGAAGAACCUUACCUAAGCUUGACAUCCUUUUGACCGAUGCCUAAUCGCAUCUUUUCUUCGGGGACAGAAGUGACAGGUAGUGCAUGGUUGUCGUCAGCUCGUGUCGUGAGAUGUUGGGUUAAGUCCCGCAACGAGCGCAACCCUUGCCUUUAGUUGCCAGCAUUAAGUUGGGCACUCUAGAGGGACUGCCAGGGAUAACCUGGAGGAAGGUGGGGAUGACGUCAAAUCAUCAUGCCCCUUAUGCUUAGGGCUACACACGUGCUACAAUGGGUGGUACAGAGGGCAGCCAAGUCGUGAGGCGGAGCUAAUCCCUUAAAGCCAUUCUCAGUUCGGAUUGUAGGCUGAAACUCGCCUACAUGAAGCUGGAGUUACUAGUAAUCGCAGAUCAGAAUGCUGCGGUGAAUGCGUUCCCGGGUCUUGUACACACCGCCCGUCACACCACGGGAGUUGGGGGCGCCCGAAGCCGGAUUGCUAACCUUUUGGAAGCGUCCGUCGAAGGUGAAAUCAAUAACUGGGGUGAAGUCGUAACAAGGUAACC
rnacentral:rRNA from 1 species